rnacentral:lncRNA from 1 species
GAUGGCAGUCCUUUGUUUACCGCAUGCAGUAAGAAGACAGAAGAGCUUGCUUCAUUCCCAGCCCUCACACAGAUUUCCUGCAGGACUUCAAACAAGUCAUCAGAGCUGGUGGAGUUGGACAGACAACUGAGUUCAGUAUGCAUAAACUUUGUGAGGGAAAGGUAAGCACAUUUAAUGAGCUCAGUUCACUCCUGGGUCACGCCAGGAGCAGAAGGACAAGACUUCCAUCACUGGAAAGACCACCCAGAGAGGAGGAAGCUGUGCUUGCCCAGGAAGGAGGAAAAGCAAGAAGAUCCCAAUGGUUUUCCUUCAGAGCCCAAGCCAUGACUACCAGCUGCCUCCACAGCAGAAGUCGAGGGGCCCCAACCAUGGAGAAGGGGCCUGUUUCUUUUCAGCGUGAGUACACCUCGUUUCCUUUGUGCUGGCAAGGCUGUCUGUAGACAAGAGAAUAGAAAUCCAACACGCUCUUUG